rnacentral:lncRNA from 1 species
GCUGCUGUCACUCACUACAGAAUUGCUUAGGCCUGUGAAACCUGGCUCCCAGUGAAGAUUCUCCUGCCCCUCAGUCCCCAGAACUUUUCCAGCUGGAGAGCAAUUCUCGGGAAUUUCCCAUUCCCGAGAAAGAGUCAGGCUGUAGCUGCUGAAAGAAAUGCAGAUAUAGAGAAUUCAUCUAACUGAAACUGAACAGAAUGAGAAGUUGGAGAGAAUAAGUUUGGAAUUUAAGUUGGGAUUUGAGGCUUUACUUUCUUUGGAUUCAUACUGCUCAACAAAGACAGCAGGAAUUUUUCAGACUUUAGCUUUUAUGGACUUUAAGGUCUUGUUUCCCCUUUACAUCUAUUGAUCCAAACCAAUAAAACCG